CUCAUCUACAAAAAACAAACAAAUACUUGUUAUACUUUUAUGAAUUGUCAAGUUGUACAACACACAGCAAUUAAGAUUAAGACAAACAAAAAAAUCACUGAUAUUAUUAAUUCCAUUGUUGUGUCUAAUAGAUAGAAACAACUUGUGUUGUAAAAGGAAAGAUGACAGCCAGAUGACGUCAAAGUAUCGCGAGAGCGAGACGAAAUUUGAUUUCUUGAAUCCUUCUCGCGGUACUCUGACGUCAUCCGGCUGUCAGUCUUGCGGCGCCGCAUGAAGUCAAAUAAGCCUCCUGACUGCGUGCGAGAACAUUUUGAAUUAUCUGGCACGAGGCAUCACACGUCAAACUUCAACUGACACAACGGUCUCGGUGAAGGGAAUAAGCAAAAGCUCCUUUAAAUUUCGUCAUUUUUUAUACACAUCCCGUUUAUUUUGUAGUUAAUUGUUAGAUAAGUAAGUAAUUUCGUCAAGUUUUCGUUACAGAGUAAGAUUUCGUUAUCAUCGUUACCAUAUACAGUAUUUAUAUUGGUUCAAGAGCGCAGUUUGAUAACUCAUUCAAGCCUUUAAACAUCUAAACAUGUCCUCCAAAAAGGAAAAAGGGAAAAACACUGGAAAACAAUUUCAGCCUAAGGUUUCCUGUGCUGUUUUGCUCCAUUUUACAGAACAAAAUAAGGCUGAGGUAGCACCAUCCUUGUGGUUAGAGUGAAAGAAUGUGGGUAUUGAGACCAAAAUAAAUAAUGUGCCAUUCUGGACAAACAGCUGUGGACAAUACAAGCAGUCAGAGUAGCCCAUUUUCUCACACAGAUGAGGAGCAACCAGUAAGAAAAAGCAAAAAGAUGUUUUGAUGUUGCCUGAGGCACCUUAUUCACAUCAGUCAAUUUCUUCCAAUAAUGAAUCAAGAAAUCCUGGAGUGGAGAAUCAUUCUGAAAGUAGACCAAAUACAGGACAACACCACAGCAGUGGUUGGAAAAAUGCAGCAGACAAUGAGCAAACCAAGCUGACUUUCAAAAGAUGAUUCGUUAUCUGUUUCUUCAAAGGGGAGGCAGUUUGGGAGAUGGGAAAUAGGAGGAUGCUUCAGCUACACAGGGCGAAUUUCAGCAGCUCAGUUUCACACUUGCAACUAACAAUGAAUUAUAGUUAGAAGACAACGGAAAUAUUUGACAUGGGAGUCCAGCAGACAGCCAGAGACACGCACACACACGGAGCUGAAGCGCGUUUGACUGACGCGUACGGGAGAUCAGGCACGCGCACGGGAGCUCGCUCGCGCACGCACACACAAACACGGAGCACUGGAA